rnacentral:rRNA from 1 species
UUAAGCGACUAAGCGUACACGGUGGAUGCCCUGGCAGUCAGAGGCGAUGAAGGACGUGCUAAUCUGCGAAAAGCGCCGGCGAGGUGAUAUGAACCUUUGACCCGGCGAUGUCCGAAUGGGGAAACCCAGUGCAAUUCGUUGCACUAUCGUUAACUGAAUACAUAGGUUAACGAGGCGAACCGGGGGAACUGAAACAUCUAAGUACCCCGAGGAAAAGAAAUCAACCGAGAUUCCCCCAGUAGCGGCGAGCGAACGGGGAGCAGCCCAGAGUCUGAAUCAGCUUGUGUGUUAGUGGAAGCGUCUGGAAAGUCGCACGGUACAGGGUGACAGUCCCGUACACGAAAGCACACAGGCUGUGAACUCGAAGAGUAGGGCGGGACACGUGGUAUCCUGUCUGAAUAUGGGGGGACCAUCCUCCAAGGCUAAAUACUCCUGACUGACCGAUAGUGAACCAGUACCGUGAGGGAAAGGCGAAAAGAACCCCGGCGAGGGGAGUGAAAAAGAACCUGAAACCGUGUACGUACAAGCAGUGGGAGCACCUUCGUGGUGUGACUGCGUACCUUUUGUAUAAUGGGUCAGCGACUUAUAUUCUGUAGCAAGGUUAACCGUAUAGGGGAGCCGAAGGGAAACCGAGUCUUAACUGGGCGUUAAGUUGCAGGGUAUAGACCCGAAACCCGGUGAUCUAGCCAUGGGCAGGUUGAAGGUUGGGUAACACUAACUGGAGGACCGAACCGACUAAUGUUGAAAAAUUAGCGGAUGACUUGUGGCUGGGGGUGAAAGGCCAAUCAAACCGGGAGAUAGCUGGUUCUCCCCGAAAGCUAUUUAGGUAGCGCCUCGUGAACUCAUCUUCGGGGGUAGAGCACUGUUUCGGCUAGGGGGCCAUCCCGGCUUACCAACCCGAUGCAAACUACGAAUACCGAAGAAUGUUAUCACGGGAGACACACGGCGGGUGCUAACGUCCGUCGUGAAGAGGGAAACAACCCAGACCGCCAGCUAAGGUCCCAAAGUCAUGGUUAAGUGGGAAACGAUGUGGGAAGGCACAGACAGCCAGGAUGUUGGCUUAGAAGCAGCCAUCAUUUAAAGAAAGCGUAAUAGCUCACUGGUCGAGUCGGCCUGCGCGGAAGAUGUAACGGGGCUAAACCAUGCACCGAAGCUGCGGCAGCGACGCUUAUGCGUUGUUGGGUAGGGGAGCGUUCUGUAAGCCGUUGAAGGUGGCCUGUGAGGGUUGCUGGAGGUAUCAGAAGUGCGAAUGCUGACAUAAGUAACGAUAAAGCGGGUGAAAAGCCCGCUCGCCGGAAGACCAAGGGUUCCUGUCCAACGUUAAUCGGGGCAGGGUGAGUCGACCCCUAAGGCGAGGCCGAAAGGCGUAGUCGAUGGGAAACAGGUUAAUAUUCCUGUACUUGGUGUUACUGCGAAGGGGGGACGGAGAAGGCUAUGUUAGCCGGGCGACGGUUGUCCCGGUUUAAGCAUGUAGGCGGAGGUUCCAGGUAAAUCCGGUACCUUUUAACGCUGAGGUGUGAUGACGAGGCACUACGGUGCUGAAGUAACAAAUGCCCUGCUUCCAGGAAAAGCCUCUAAGCAUCAGGUAACAUCAAAUCGUACCCCAAACCGACACAGGUGGUCAGGUAGAGAAUACCAAGGCGCUUGAGAGAACUCGGGUGAAGGAACUAGGCAAAAUGGUGCCGUAACUUCGGGAGAAGGCACGCUGAUAUGUAGGUGAAGCCCCUGCGGGUGGAGCUGAAAUCAGUCGAAGAUACCAGCUGGCUGCAACUGUUUAUUAAAAACACAGCACUGUGCAAACACGAAAGUGGACGUAUACGGUGUGACGCCUGCCCGGUGCCGGAAGGUUAAUUGAUGGGGUUAGCGGCAACGCGAAGCUCUUGAUCGAAGCCCCGGUAAACGGCGGCCGUAACUAUAACGGUCCUAAGGUAGCGAAAUUCCUUGUCGGGUAAGUUCCGACCUGCACGAAUGGCGUAAUGAUGGCCAGGCUGUCUCCACCCGAGACUCAGUGAAAUUGAACUCGCUGUGAAGAUGCAGUGUACCCGCGGCAAGACGGAAAGACCCCGUGAACCUUUACUAUAGCUUGACACUGAACACUGGUCCUUGAUGUGUAGGAUAGGUGGGAGGCUUUGAAGCGUGGACGCCAGUCUGCGUGGAGCCGUCCUUGAAAUACCACCCUUUAAUGGCUGGUGUUCUAACGUAGACCCGUGAUCCGGGUUGCGGACAGUGUCUGGUGGGUAGUUUGACUGGGGCGGUCUCCUCCCAAAGAGUAACGGAGGAGCACGAAGGUUAGCUAAUCCUGGUCGGACAUCAGGAGGUUAGUGCAAUGGCAUAAGCUAGCUUGACUGCGAGAGUGACGGCUCGAGCAGGUGCGAAAGCAGGUCAUAGUGAUCCGGUGGUUCUGAAUGGAAGGGCCAUCGCUCAACGGAUAAAAGGUACUCCGGGGAUAACAGGCUGAUACCGCCCAAGAGUUCAUAUCGACGGCGGUGUUUGGCACCUCGAUGUCGGCUCAUCACAUCCUGGGGCUGAAGUAGGUCCCAAGGGUAUGGCUGUUCGCCAUUUAAAGUGGUACGCGAGCUGGGUUUAGAACGUCGUGAGACAGUUCGGUCCCUAUCUGCCGUGGGCGCUGGAGAAUUGAGGGGGGCUGCUCCUAGUACGAGAGGACCGGAGUGGACGCAUCACUGGUGUUCGGGUUGUCAUGCCAAUGGCACUGCCCGGUAGCUAAAUGCGGAAAAGAUAAGUGCUGAAAGCAUCUAAGCACGAAACUUGCCCCGAGAUGAGUUCUCCCUGACCCUUUAAGGGUCCUGAAGGAACGUUGAAGACGACGACGUUGAUAGGUCGGGUGUGUAAGCGCAGCGAUGCGUUGAGCUAACCGAUACUAAUGAACCGUGAGGCUUAACCU